rnacentral:rRNA from 1 species
UGGGGAAUAUUGCACAAUGGGCGGAAGCCUGAUGCAGCGACGCCGCGUGGGGGAUGAAGGCCUUCGGGUUGUAAACUCCUUUCGACAGGGACGAAGCUUUUGUGACGGUACCUGUAUAAGAAGCACCGGCUAACUACGUGCCAGCAGCCGCGGUAAUACGUAGGGUGCGAGCGUUGUCCGGAAUUACUGGGCGUAAAGAGCUCGUAGGUGGUUUGUCGCGUCGUCUGUGAAAUUCCGGGGCUUAACUCCGGGCGUGCAGGCGAUACGGGCUGACUUGAGUGCUGUAGGGGAGACUGGAAUUCCUGGUGUAGCGGUGAAAUGCGCAGAUAUCAGGAGGAACACCGAUGGCGAAGGCAGGUCUCUGGGCAGUAACUGACGCUGAGGAGCGAAAGCAUGGGUAGCGAACAGGAUUAGAUACCCUGGUAGUCCAUGCCGUAAACGGUGGGCGCUAGGUGUAGGGGGCUUCCACGUCUUCUGUGCCGUAGCUAACGCAUUAAGCGCCCCGCCUGGGGAGUACGGCCGCAAGGCUA